CUCCUUCUUCCUCAGCUCUUCAUAAUUAAGACAGUGAUAGAUGCGCUGAAAAGACAGCUGUUAUGGGAAAAACUGAGGCCAGAAGAGGCCAUAUAUGUGCUGGGCUAUGCUACAGAUCCUUGGUGGGCUGGCCAGAGUUCCUAGGCUCCCUGACUUCGUCUACCAAGGUCUCCACAUUUGAGCUUCUGGCAACCUCAGGGCAAGGACGCCGAACUAUCCAAACAAGAUGGCUGACCUCCAGGAAGAAAACUCAGCAAGAUGAAGUCCAUGACCCCUGCUCAGUCAUAAUUCAAAUUGGUCAUGGGAUACUUGGGAAGACAUCGCCAUGUUGUGGUGCCUGACAUGUGAUCUGGGUCAGAUUCUCCAAGAUCUGGGGAAGGCUGCAUUCCCAGCAGCAAUGGAAGAGAUAUCCAGUCUUAUGAUGUGAUAGGAAAUGUAGAGAAAGUCUGCCAUCCUCCAUUUGAGCUCCUAGAAACCAAUAUUCUAUCAACAUCCAGGACUUGUCCAUAUACAUCAAGUCAAGUAAUUUUCAAAACGUUCGUGUGCAUCACUCAGUUGUUUUGGAAGACCUUACAAAGAGCUUAGCGUAACUCAGUUGCAGAUAAGGUGCUGGCAUGGGAAAGAUCAACAAGGCUUGACUGAGCUCUCCAAAUCUUUGCAGACCAGAGGGAGGCAGAUGUGACCACUAUCACCCUA